rnacentral:rRNA from 1 species
UACGGGGGGGGUAAGCGUUGUUCGGAAUUACUGGGCGUAAAGGGCUCGUAGGCGGCCAACUAAGUCAUACGUGAAAUCCCUCAGCUUAACUGGGGAACUGCGUCUGAUACUGGAUGGCUUGGAUUCGGGAGAGGAAUGCGGAAUUCCAGGUGUAGCGGUGAAAUGCGUAGAGAUGUGGAGGAAUACCGAUGGCGAAGGCAGCCCCCUGGGCCAAUACUGACGCUCAUGCACGAAAGCGUGGGGAGCAAACAGG